rnacentral:misc_RNA from 1 species
GAUGAAGAACGUAGCGAAAUGCGAUACGUAAUGUGAAUUGCAGAUCUCAGUGAAUCAUCGAAUCUUUGAACGCACAUUGCGCCCGCUAGUAUUCUGGCGGGCAUGCCUGUUCGAGCGUCAUUUCAACCAUCAAGCCCUGUGCUUGUGUUGGAGCCCUGCGGCUGCCGCAGGCUCCCAAACCCAGUGGCGGGCUCGUCGUCGUACCGAGUGCAGUAAACAUACCACGCUCAGGGCACGCGACGGGUGACCGGCCGUAAAACCCCCCCCCUUCUCAAGGUUGACCUCGGAUCAGGUAAGAAUACCCGCUGAACUUAAGCAUAUCAAUAAGCGGAGGA